rnacentral:tRNA from 1 species
AAGGGAUUAGUUUAUAAAAAUAAUUGAAUGUCAAUCUUUAGAUACUAAUUUAGUAUCCCUUG